AUUCCUUUUUGUAAACAGGUUCUGUGUUUUUAUGCGAGGCAGGAUUUCUUUUCGGUUUACACAGGUGAAGGUUUAAUUCUAUUUUGUACAACUACAUGGUUUACCUUGUAAAGAGUUCCAUUUUACCUGUUACGAUCCAUCAAUCUGAGGCCACUUCAAUUCCGCAGGAGGAAGGAAAAAAUCAUAAUAAUAGGAUUGUAUGCUAUUAACUCUUUCUGAGCUCGGAGGUGUGAAAAAGGCAAAGAGAGAAACUGCUAAGUGCUGUUCCUGGAUUCUGCCGUGGAGUGCCAGAGCCAAGGCGGUGUCAGAAAGUGCCAGCUAAGGAAGUUUUGACCCCUGCAGGAGCUCAGUUUAGUGGUGGACAGCUUGCCAGAACGAUGUCCAAGUCGGGCUCCCACAGAAGCCAGCUCCUUUCUCCAAUUAAAGUGUGCAGGGGUAAGACUGAAUUCCUCACGGUCACUUCUUAAAUCUCUUCAUUACCUCGCAGUGGCGUGUGACUAGUGCUUACUAUACAUUCCAGAGUCAGUAACACUGAUCUAAGAGCAGUUUAGCAGAUCAAAGGUUGUGUCCAGGAAGCCCACGGCCUGGUGCAGUGCUGUGAGUAAACCUUCCCAUCCAGGCUGCGGCAGCCCAGCAUUCAGUGUGUUCUGCCCAAAAGGAGGCACUGCCUACGCAAAGCAACAGCAGGAGAUCUGAGCGCCGAAGUUGCAUGCAGGUGUUUCAUAUUUACCUUCUACCACAGUAUCAGUGCUGAAGCUCUUCCCCUAGAUAGCCUUCUAGGAGUGAAUCCUCACCGGUGUGGAUGUCUCACAGAACAGCUGCACACAAACUGCUGUUCCCCAAACUUGGUUCAAAUCACAACCGCUCUCUCUGCUGUGCAGCUGUGCUAUGGACUUCCUACUCAGCAUUUCAGGAUGUGGUGAAGUUUUCCCAAAGUCACCCUGAUGUUAUCGUAGAUAACCUGAGCUUGAAGAUUAAGUCAGUUAAGAAGCCAUGACUCUCCCCAUAACAGCAUAUUUUCCCACACAGAGGAAAACAAAACUAAAAACUGAUGUCCCCUUCCUUCCUUCCUUCAGACGCAGCCGCCUCUGAUUCCAGUGAGUUUAUCCUGAGGUAAGGAGUGGAGAUGACAUUGCAGACUGCUACUCCUUCACUCACUCAGCUUUAGCUAUCUGGAAGACCCCCGCAAGCUUUAUGGAAAUAAUGCUUUUAGUGAAAAAUGCAUUAAACAUGUCCCUGACUCAUCAACUGACCACAGAAAAGUCAAUGUCCUGAGCAAAACUAUACAGUAGAUGUAUCCUAACAGCAGUACAAUCUAACAGAAGUUGCUAGUGUUUCACUUCUGGGUUUCUGCUCUUGGCUGGUUUCUAUCUGUUGGGGUAUUAAGAAGUUUGUUUCAUGAUCUUGGCAAAUGAAUCCUUUGUUUCAAUACAGUACACAGAGAUUAAACACCUCUUAAAC
ensembl:lncRNA